rnacentral:misc_RNA from 1 species
ACUCUUCAACCCACCGGUUUCUUGUUAAAUUGGAUGGUGUUUGGAUUUUGAGUGUUGCUAGUCUUCAGACGUAGCUCAUUCGUAAUAUAUUAGCAUCUCAAUUUCGAACUUCGGAUUGACUCAGCGUGAUAGACUAUUCGCUGAGGACACCUCUGGGUGGCCGAAUGAGAAGACAGUAGAAGCUCCUAAACAGAUCUUAGUCAAUUUAAA